rnacentral:rRNA from 1 species
AGUGGCGAACGGGUGAGUAAUGCAUCGGAACGUGCCCAAUAGUGGGGGAUAGCCCGGCGAAAGCCGGAUUAAUACCGCAUACGACCUGAGGGUGAAAGGGGGGGAUCGCAAGACCUCUCGCUAUUGGAGCGGCCGAUGUCAGAUUAGCUAGUUGGUGGGGUAAAGGCCUACCAAGGCAACGAUCUGUAGUUGGUCUGAGAGGACGACCAGCCACACUGGACUGAGACACGGCCCAGACUCCUACGGGAGGCAGCAGUGGGGAAUUUUGGACAAUGGGCGCAAGCCUGAUCCAGCAAUGCCGCGUGCAGGAAGAAGGCCUUCGGGUUGUAAACUGCUUUUGUCAGGGAAGAAAUCUUCUGGGUUAAUACCUCGGGAGGAUGACGGUACCUGAAGAAUAAGCACCGGCUAACUACGUGCCAGCAGCCGCGGUAAUACGUAGGGUGCGAGCGUUAAUCGGAAUUACUGGGCGUAAAGCGUGCGCAGGCGGCUUUGCAAGACAGAGGUGAAAUCCCCGGGCUCAACCUGGGAACUGCCUUUGUGACUGCAAGGCUAGAGUACGGCAGAGGGGGAUGGAAUUCCGCGUGUAGCAGUGAAAUGCGUAGAUAUGCGGAGGAACACCAAUGGCGAAGGCAAUCCCCUGGGCCUGUACUGACGCUCAUGCACGAAAGCGUGGGGAGCAAACAGGAUUAGAUACCCUGGU